UACGUAGGUGGCAAGCGUUGUCCGGAUUUACUGGGCGUAAAGAGCGCGCAGGCGGUCGUUCAAGUCGCGUGUGAAAGCCCCCGGCUCAACUGGGGAGGGUCACGCGAUACUGAUCGACUCGAAGGCAGGAGAGGGUAGUGGAAUUCCCGGUGUAGUGGUGAAAUGCGUAGAUAUCGGGAGGAACACCCGUGGCGAAGGCGGCUCUCUGGGACGGUACCGACGCUGAGACGCGAAAGCGUGGGGAGCGAACAGG
rnacentral:rRNA from 1 species